AAACCCAAGAAGACUGAAGAAAAGGAACCCGAGGUAAACGAAGACAAAGUUCCAGAAGAAACUGCUGAAUCUCCCAGCACCACUGAGAACUAUCGCUUCACGCGAUCCAUGGCUCGUACUUCAGAAACAGAUGACAGUGGAGGGUCAAAAUCCAAAGGGGAUGGCCGACCUUCACGUUUAGGCUCAAAGCGUCACGCAGCUCAAGAAAUCAACACACCCAAAAAGAAACAAUCUCCUCCAAAGAAAGUGCCUC